GCCAUCGUAGCUCAGUGGUAGAGCACUUCCUUGGUAAGGAAGAGGUCGCCGGUUCGAUCCCGGCCGAUGGCU
rnacentral:tRNA from 1 species